rnacentral:rRNA from 1 species
CGACGUGAGGAACCUGCCUUUCAGAGGGGGACAACAGUUGGAAACGAUUGCUAAUACCGCAUGACACAUAGAGAUCGCAUGGUUUUUAUGUCAAAGAUUUAUCGCUGAAAGAUGGCCUCGCGUCUGAUUAGCUAGUUGGUGAGGUAACGGCCCACCAAGGCGACGAUCAGUAGCCGGACUGAGAGGUUGACCGGCCACAUUGGGACUGAGAUACGGCCCAG